rnacentral:rRNA from 1 species
UAGGGAAUCUUCCGCAAUGGACGAAAGUCUGACGGAGCAACGCCGCGUGAGCGAAGAAGGCCUUCGGGUCGUAAAGCUCUGUUGUUAGGGAAGAACAAGUAUCGGAGUAACUGCCGGUACCUUGACGGUACCUAACCAGAAAGCCACGGCUAACUACGUGCCAGCAGCCGCGGUAAUACGUAGGUGGCAAGCGUUGUCCGGAAUUAUUGGGCGUAAAGCGCGCGCAGGCGGUCCUUUAAGUCUGAUGUGAAAGCCCACGGCUCAACCGUGGAGGGUCAUUGGAAACUGGGGGACUUGAGUGCAGAAGAGGAGAGUGGAAUUCCACGUGUAGCGGUGAAAUGCGUAGAGAUGUGGAGGAACACCAGUGGCGAAGGCGACUCUCUGGUCUGUAACUGACGCUGAGGCGCGAAAGCGUGGGGAGCAAACAGGAUUAGAUACCCUGGGUAGUCCGACGCCGGUAAACGAUGAGUGCUAAGUGUUAGAGGGUUUCCGCCCUUUAGUGCUGC